GUACACGCUGUGACUAGCAUAUCAAUAAGCGGAGGAAAAGAAACUAACAAGGAUUCCCCUAGUAACGGCGAGUGAAGCGGGAAGAGCUCAAAUUUGAAAUCUUAAAGGGUUUCCCUUUACGAAUUGUAGUUUAAAGAAGUGUUUUCUGUUGAGGUUUUGGUAAAAGUUCUUUGGAAUAGGACAUCAUAGAGGGUGAGAAUCCCGUAUUUGACCUUUACUUUCAACCUUGUGAUACACUUUCAAAGAGUCGGAUUGUUUGGGAAUGCAGUCCAAAAUGGGUGGUAAAUUUCAUCUAAAGCUAAAUAUUGGCGAGAGACCGAUAGCGAACAAGUACCGUGAGGGAAAGAUGAAAAGAACUUUGAAAAGAGAGUUAAACAGUACGUGAAAUUGUCAAAAGGGAAGCGUUUGACACCAGUGUUGUUUUUCUGAAGAUCAAUUAAAGAACUGUUUAUGCUAAGUUGUUUAGACUUUAUCAGCUAACUGUUUAGUUUUGAGCUUUUCUUUAAUGCACUUUUCAGUUAACAAGUCAACAUCAAUUUCUUUUGCUGUAAAAAAGCUUGAGGAAGGUGGCUUGAGAUUCGUCUUAAGUGUUUAUAGCCUCUUGCCUAUGCAGUCGGAGAGAUUGAGGUCUGCAGCGUAGAUCCUUCGGGGCUAAAUGCAUUUGUGCUAAGUUAUAGCAUUUCAUAGACAACUUGUUGACUAUGAUUUGUCUUGUAGCUUACUCGCUUAUGUUAUUUUACCUACGCUUAGGAUGUUGACGAGACUGUCGAUCUC
rnacentral:rRNA from 1 species